rnacentral:tRNA from 1 species
CGGGGCAUAGCUCAGCCUGGUAGAGCACCUGCUUUGGGAGCAGGGGGCCGGGAGUUCGAAUCUCUCUGCCCCGA